rnacentral:rRNA from 1 species
UUAAGCAAAAAAGAGCGCAGGGUGGAUGCCUUGGCACUAAGAGCCGAAGAAAGACGUGAUAAGCUGCGAAAAGCUGCGGGGAGAUGCAAAUAAUCCUUGAUCCGCAGAUGUCUGAAUGGGGAAACCCGGUACGAAGAACUCGUAUCAUCCAUACGCCAAUCCAUAACGUAUGGAGGGGAACCCGGUGAACUGAAACAUCUAAGUAGCCGGAGGAAGAGAAAGAAACAUCGAUUUUGUUAGUAGCGGCGAGCGAAAGCGAAAGAGGCCAAACCGGAGUGCGUGCACUCCGGGGUUCGGACCGCAUUUAAGAUUCAGUGAUUCUAGCAGAAAGGUUUGGGAAAGCCUGCCGGAGAGGGUGAAAGCCCCGUAAGCGAAAGGAGAGCUGACUGAGCGGGAUCCAGAGUACAUCGAGACACGAGAAACCUUGAUGGAAUGAGCGGGGACCACCCCGUAAGCCUAAAUACUACUUAGUGACCGAUAGCGCAUAGUACUGUGAAGGAAAGGUGAAAAGGACCCCGGGAGGGGAGUGAAAGAGAACCUGAAACCCUGUGUUUACAAGCUGUGGAAGUUCUUUAAAUGAACAACCGCGUACUUUUUGUAGAACGGUCCGGCGAGUUGCGGAUACUGGCAAGGUUAAGCACUUAAGGUGCGGAGCCGAAGGGAUACCAAGUCUUAACAGGGCGUAAAGUCAGUAUACGCAGACCCGAAACCGGGUGAUCUAUCCAUGUCCAGGUUGAAGUUGUCGUAAAAGACAAUGGAGGACCGAAGCCACAUCCGUUGAAAAGGGUGGGCAUGAGGUGUGGAUAGGGGAGAAAUUCCAAUCGAACCCGGAGAUAGCUGGUUCUCCUCGAAAUAGCUUUAGGGCUAGCCUCGAUUUAGUCUUAUGGAGGUAGAGCACUGAAUUUCCGCGGGGGCGUCAAAGCUUACCAAAGAAUAUCAAACUCCGAAUGCCAUGUAGAUGAUGAUCGGGAGUCAGACUGCACGAGAUAAGUUGGGCAGUCAAAAGGGAAAGAGCCCAGACCUACAGCUAAGGUCCCAAAGUGCGUGUUAAGUGGAAAAGGAUGUGGGAUUUCGAAGACAACUAGGAUGUUGGCUCAGAAGCAGCCAUACAUUCAAAGAGUGCGUAAUAGCUCACUAGUCGAGAGGUCCUGCGCCGAAAAUGUCCGGGGCUAAAACACACUGCCGAAGCUUUGGAAUUGAGAAUUCAAUUGGUAGAGGAGCAUUCUUAAAGGGACGAAGCAGUACCGUAAGGAGCUGUGGACUUUUAAGAAGAGAGAAUGCCGGAAUGAGUAGCGAGAGGAAGGUGGGAAUCCUUCCGGCCGAAUAUCUAAGGUUUCCAGAGUAAAGCUGAUCUGCUCUGGGUAAGUCGGGGCCUAAGCACAGGUCGCAAGACGUAAGCGAUGGAUAACAGGUUUAGAUUCCUGUACCACGCAUUAUCAGAACUGUAGGGACGCAUGUGGAAAGCACGAGCCGGGAAUGGAAAGACCGGUACAAGCGGGGUAGGUGUACAAUAGGCAAAUCCGUUGUAUGAUCCGAAGACGUGAUGUGGAGCGAAAUAAAGUAGUGAAGCGUGUGAGCCAUGUGCCGAGAAAAGCUGCUAUUGUGUAAUGCGUGCCCGUACCGUAAACCGACACAGGUGGAUGAGGAGAGAAUCCUAAGGCCGACGGAAGAAGCAUUGUUAAGGAACUCGGCAAAAUGACCCCGUAACUUCGGGAGAAGGGGUGCCUGCGAGAGCAGGCCGCAGAGAAUAGGCUCAAGCAACUGUUUAGCAAAAACACAGGUCUAUGCGAAACCGAAAGGUGAAGUAUAUGGGCUGACGCCUGCCCGGUGCUGGAAGGUUAAGAGGAGAGGUUAGCGCAAUCGAAGCUUUGAAUUUAAGCCCCAGUAAACGGCGGCCGUAACUAUAACGGUCCUAAGGUAGCGAAAUUCCUUGUCGGGUAAGUUCCGACCCGCACGAA